GAUGAAGAACGCAGCGAAAUGCGAUAAGUAAUGUGAAUUGCAGAAUUCAGUGAAUCAUCGAAUCUUUGAACGCACAUUGCGCCCCCUGGUAUUCCGGGGGGCAUGCCUGUCCGAGCGUCAUUACAACCCUCAAGCUCAGCUUGGUGUUGGGCCCCGCCGCCCCGGCGGGCCCUAAAGUCAGUGGCGGUGCCGUCCGGCUCCGAGCGUAGUAAUUCUUCUCGCUCUGGAGGUCCGGUCGUGUGCUCGCCAGCAACCCCCAAUUUUUUUCAGGUUGACCUCGGAUCCGGUAGGGAUACCCGCUGAACUUAAGCAUAUCAAUAAGCGGAGGA
rnacentral:misc_RNA from 1 species